rnacentral:rRNA from 1 species
UUAAGUUAAUAAGGGCGCACGGUGGAUGCCUUGGCACUAGGAGCCGACGAAGGACGUGACAAACGACGAUAUGCCUUGGGUAGCUGUAAGUAAGCGAUGAUCCAGGGAUUUCCGAAUGGGGGAACCCAACAGGUAAUACCUGUUACCUACAUCUGUUAAGGAUGUGAGGAGGAAGACGCAGUGAACUGAAACAUCUAAGUAGCUGCAGGAAGAGAAAGCAAAAGCGAUUGCCUUAGUAGCGGCGAGCGAAACGGCAGAAGGGCAAACCGAAGAGUUUACUCUUCGGGGUUGUAGGACUGCAAUGUGGACUCAAAGAUUAUAGAAGAAUGAUUUGGGAAGAUCAGCCAAAGAGAGUAAUAGCCUCGUAUUUAAAAUAGUCUUUGUACUUAGCAGUAUCCUGAGUACGGCGGGACACGUGAAAUCCCGUCGGAAUCUGGGAGGACCAUCUCCCAACCCUAAAUACUCCCUAGUGACCGAUAGUGAACCAGUACCGUGAGGGAAAGGUGAAAAGCACCCCGGGAGGGGAGUGAAAUAGAACCUGAAACCGUGUGCCUACAACAAGUUCGAGCCCGUUAAUGGGUGAGAGCGUGCCUUUUGUAGAAUGAACCGGCGAGUUACGUUAUGAUGCGAGGUUAAGUUGAAGAGACGGAGCCGUAGGGAAACCGAGUCUGAAUAGGGCGCCUUAGUAUCAUGACGUAGACCCGAAACCAUGUGACCUACCCAUGAGCAGGUUGAAGGUGCGGUAAGACGCACUGGAGGACCGAACCAGGGCACGUUGAAAAGUGCUUGGAUGACUUGUGGGUAGCGGAGAAAUUCCAAACGAACUUGGAGAUAGCUGGUUCUCUCCGAAAUAGCUUUAGGGCUAGCGUCGACAUUAGAGAUUCUUGGAGGUAGAGCACUGUUUGGGUGAGGGGUCCAUCCCGGAUUACCAAUCUCAGAUAAACUCCGAAUGCCAAUGAAUUAUGGUCGGCAGUCAGACUGCGAGUGCUAAGAUCCGUAGUCGAAAGGGAAACAGCCCAGACCACCAGCUAAGGUCCCAAAAUAAUUGUUAAGUGGAAAAGGAUGUGGGGUUGCACAGACAACUAGGAUGUUAGCUUAGAAGCAGCUAUUCAUUCAAAGAGUGCGUAAUAGCUCACUAGUCGAGUGACCCUGCGCCGAAAAUGUACCGGGGCUAAAACAAUUUACCGAAGCUGUGGAUACCUUUAUAGGUAUGGUAGGAGAGCGUUCUAUGUGUGAUGAAGGUAUACCGUGAGGAGUGCUGGAACGCAUAGAAGUGAGAAUGCCGGUAUGAGUAGCGAAAGACAGGUGAGAAUCCUGUCCACCGUAAGACUAAGGUUUCCAGGGGAAGGCUCGUCCGCCCUGGGUUAGUCGGGACCUAAGGAGAGACCGAAAGGUGUAUCCGAUGGACAACAGGUUGAUAUUCCUGUACUAGAGUAUGUAGUGAUGGAGGGACGCAGUAGGCUAACUAAAGCAGACGAUUGGAAGAGUCUGUCUAAGCAGUGAGGUGUGAAUUGAGUCAAAUGCUUAAUUCUAUAACAUUGAGCUGUGAUGGGGAGCGAAGUUUAGUAGCGAAGUUAGUGACGUCACACUGCCAAGAAAAGCUUCUAGCGUUUAAACAUACUCUACCCGUACCGCAAACCGACACAGGUAGUCGAGGCGAGUAGCCUCAGGUGAGCGAGAGAACUCUCGUUAAGGAACUCGGCAAAAUGACCCCGUAACUUCGGGAGAAGGGGUGCUGACUUAAAGUCAGCCGCAGUGAAUAGGCCCAAGCAACUGUUUAUCAAAAACACAGCUCUCUGCUAAAUCGUAAGAUGAUGUAUAGGGGGUGACGCCUGCCCGGUGCUGGAAGGUUAAGAGGAGUGCUUAGCGUAAGCGAAGGUAUGAAUUGAAGCCCCAGUAAACGGCGGCCGUAACUAUAACGGUCCUAAGGUAGCGAAAUUCCUUGUCGGGUAAGUUCCGACCCGCACGAAAGGUGUAACGAUUUGGGCACUGUCUCAACCAGAGACUCGGUGAAAUUAUAGUACCUGUGAAGAUGCAGGUUACCCGCGACAGGACGGAAAGACCCCGUGGAGCUUUACUGUAGCCUGAUAUU